GCCUGUUGAUUGUUCUUCUUCUCUUCAGUAAAAUCUUUACUUUUUGUCCCCCUCCCCCUCACAUCAUCUAUAUUAGGUUGAAAAAUCAUACAUGUGGGGCUACUGCGUUUUUUUAUUAGGUUUUCUUUUUUGCACCCAUAUAUAUCAUUUUGUAUAUAAGCUCAAUGCAUUUUUCUUUGUUCGAAGGCAAAAAUAUUUCAUACACAGUACAUAUAGGCUUUUAUUGGGGUUCCCUACAGAAUCGUUUCAAGCAAAUCUUAUGUAAAUACUCAUGUGACUGCUGUUAUGUAAUGUAAAUUAUUCUCACAUGUUGCUCUUUCACACUUGAAUCUCUGUUUUUGGAUCAUAAUAUUUUUGUUUUUUCCGUUUUAGUUUACAUAUUCUCACUUGUUGUUUCAUGGAGUAUUUGAUAAGCUUUUUAACUUGUCAUAUGCUAAUCUCGUUAAUCUGAUCUAGUAUGGCUUCUACCAUGUUUUGAGGUUCUAGAAUCCUUUACCACCGGUUUACCUUAUUUGAUUUCUUGAAUCGAUUUGAUCCCAAGAUCAUUCAUCUACAUGUAGGCUUUUUGUUGGGGUUCCUUUUCAAGCUAAUCUAGUGUAAAUUUCGGAGCUUAGAUUGUUGUGAGAUGGUAUUCAUAUCUAUAUAAUUAUCCCUAUCUCAUUCGUUUCUUUCAUGUUUAAAGGUGGAUCAAAUUCGGACUCCACCCAGGUCACACAGAAGAUACAAUAAAACCCCGGCGUACUCCCGAAAGAGAGAUGUCAGUUGGUUGUGCUCAUACAAUGAAACUUGGGGGUGUCACAUGAGUCUGGUUGUAAAAGAAUUGUAUGUAUUUUGAAAUCAGGUGUUAGUGAAACUAUACAUUAUUGGAUUGUGUAUUUGUUGGUUGUAAAUUGUACGACUUGUUUAUGACUAAGCUUGUGAUUGAGGUGUGUUCAAUUUUGUUUUGCUUCAAAGAACUGAUAUGAAACUUUUUGGGAUUGAUAAACAUGCAUGCUCCACUCUCUUGUUGGUUCUCAUUGGCAAAACAUCUUACUGAUUUUGGUUGCUCUCAUAGGACACACAUUUUCUUGAGGAUUUCAAGGUAUGAAGGACUUGUGAAGAGCUGGAGAAAAUGAAGCAUUCCUUGGGAAACUGAAAUAUUUAAGACUCUUGAAAAUUUGUCUUUGAAGCUUGGGCUUGUCAAGAUCUCUUAUCUCUCUAGUGCACUCAUCGGUGCCAUAUAAACCCCAAACCAGUCAUUGAUUGCUACUUCUAAGACCUCUCUUGAAGCAUGGACGAUAUCAGCUUCUACGUACAGUAAACCAUCUGAAGGUCAUAUCAAACAAUUAAAGAAUUAGCUUAAACAAUUGUGAAGUUAAGGGGACAAAUACAAUCUAUCAAUAUAUGCAAUGCACCUCAUCAAGACCAGAGCUCAUGCUCUUACUCUUCUCGGCAGUCCAUCUUGUGAAGCUUCAAUCACGGAUCACCGACAAUUACUGUCCGGAAUGUAUGAUUGCUUCUUUUACCAAGCAGCCCGUCUUUCAUGAACCUUAAACCGCAAACAAAUUCUAUAAACAUGCAUUUUAACUUACAAAUAUUUGUCGGGCUCUGUUGAACUGAUGGACCAUUAUAGAGUUGGACUACGAGAACAAGAGGCAUAAUUCUAAACUUGAGAAGAAGACACAUAAGUUUUCUAUAAAAAC
rnacentral:lncRNA from 1 species